CAGCCAUACACUUGGUGUACAGUCAGCCUUACAAAAUAAUGCAGAACAAAGUACAGUUCUUAUUUAAUGAAAUUUCCUUCUAAGGAAACUGAUGCUUUAAAAAAAAUACAAAAGAAAGAAAAGGCUUUUUAUCUCUUUCUUGGCAUUAACCUUUACUUAUUCUUCGUGAGUUUGGCAUUUACAAUACUGGCUUUUAGACUAAGUUUUUAAAAGUCACCUUCUUAAACUCACUGGUUGCCUACCUUCUGCUUUUUGGUACCUGGGGUGAUAGUUGUGACUGCUUCUCACCCUUCUCUUUUAAUCCCUCUGAUGUUACCUGACCAUGUAAUUGUGCACACUUUGUGGAAUUUUAAGCCUGUCAGAGUUUUCAUUUCCUGCUUGAACUGAUUUCUGUACUUCUCCCUCUCCCCUUCUUUCUCCCGCGCUUCCUUGUACUGUGCAUUCCUCAUCAACGAUGGCAUCUCGGACUCCAUGAAACUGCGCUGUACUGAAGGGCGAAGUGGAUCUGACCGCACUGGCCAAAGAGCUUCGAGCAGUGGAAGAUGUACGGCCACCUCACAAAGUAACGGACUACUCCUCAUCCAGUGAGGAGUCGGGGACGACGGAUGAGGAGGACGACGAUGUGGAGCAGGAAGGGGCUGACGAGUCCACCUCAGGACCAGAGGACACCAGAGCAGCGUCAUCUCUGAAUUUGAGCAAUGGUGAAACGGAAUCUGUGAAAACCAUGAUUGUCCAUGAUGAUGUAGAAAGUGAGCCGGCCAUGACCCCAUCCAAGGAGGGCACUCUAAUCGUCCGCCAGGUACCCGUGUCUUCUCUGUCGUCAGAGGCUGAGCUUCUCCUGUGGUCAUUAACCCACUUGCUCAUUCACUCACUCAUGCUGUUUCUCCAUCAUCAUCUGUUUUCAUGUUAACAAGUCCCAGAGGGUCAAGUGUCGAGUGUCGGGGGCUAGGGAGGCAGGUGUGUACUGCAUGCCCAGAAGGUAGCGAGUAAUCUCCACCCCACAUCGCUGCUCCUCUG
rnacentral:sRNA from 1 species